CAAAAAUAAAUGUGGAGAGGUCUGAACGAAUGAAGCGGCUGCGGGAGCAGAAUGACAUCCCCCAUAGUCUGGGGUCCAAAAGUUAUGCCAGAUUUAAUCACGAUGAGGCAUCUAUAUCUGGCACGCCCCCCACUCGCGCCGAGUCGUUUGUGAAGACGCACACAAGGAAAGACGGCACUUACCUGAACGAGCGGACACGGGAC